GACUCAGUGGUUCAAAGGUAAAGUGCUCGUCGCAGAGUCAGAGGUUCUUGGGUUCGAUCCCCGAUAGUGUCG
rnacentral:tRNA from 1 species